AUCCCAGGCUGAGGGAGUUCGAGGUUUGGGAGACAGUUUAGCAGUCGCUGAGUCCAAACAUGUUGUUUUCCUAGAAAAGAAAACUGAGAUCCAGGAAAGGGAAGUGAUUUUCCAAAGACACACCUGUGAAAGGUGAGGAGAACAGCCCAGUGAGGCUGAGGCCACACAAUUAACCCCAGUCUUUGCACUACAACUCUACCAGGGAUCCUGGUUUGGCUCAUUUUCUUUCUUCUGCACCAUGAUUGUUCACCUUUUCAUUACCAGCAACAUACCCAAAGACCUAGCUAUAGACUCGUUGGAAUCUGUUACUUAGCAGCUGUGUGAAUCAAGUGUUCAAUAGGAAUAAUAAGAUGUAUUCAUCUUACCUUUUCAGAACAUUAUGAAGAACAAAUGUGGUAAGACAUAUGAAAAUGCUUUGUAAAGUGUUAGAUGCUUAAUACACAGAAGACAUUGCUUCCAGAUCUGUUUCAACGUACCCCAAGAAUGGAAUAAGUGGAAUAUGC
rnacentral:lncRNA from 1 species